rnacentral:rRNA from 1 species
UGAAACAUCUUAGUAUCUAGAGGAAUAGAAAGUAAUAACGAUUCUCUUAGUAGCGGCGAGCGAAAAGAGAAAAGCUAAAACUUAGAAGAAAAAAUAUUUUAUUUUGUAAUUAAGCGAGACAAUAAAAAUCAUAAUUUAAAGUUUUAUAAACUCAAAUAAUAAUUUUUAAACUAAAGUAAUACUAUAAUAAGUGUUGAGGGAAAAGUAUAUUACAAUUAAAUGUUAUUAAUUAGAUGAAUUAGUUGGAAUGCUAAACCAGAGAAAGUGAAAGUCUUGUAAUUAAAAAUUUAUACAAUUAAACUUAAAUCCCAAGUAACAUGGAGCACGUGAAAUUCCGUGUGAAUCAGCGAGGUCCACCUCGUAAAGCUAAAUAUUAUUGAAUGACCGAUAGUGAAAUAGUACCGUGAGGGAAAGGUGAAAAGAACCCCGAAAGGGAAGUGAAAAGAACAUGAAACCAUAAACUUACAAUCAGUAGAAGGACGACUUUAACGUUUGACUACGUGCCUGUUGAAGAAUGAGCCGACGACUUAUAAAUAAUGGCAAGGGUUAAUGUACAGAAUACUGGAGCCAUAGUGAAAGCGAGCUUGAACAGGGCAUUAGUCAUUAUUUAUAGACCCGAACCCGGAUGAUCUAACCAUGAUCAGGCUGAAUCUCAGAUUACACUGAGUGGAGGGCCGAACCGACUAAUGUUGAAAAAUUAGCGGAUGAAUUGUGGUUAGUGGUGAAAUGCUAAUCGAAUUCGGAGCUAGCUGGUUCUCCCCGAAAUGCGUUUUGGCGCAGCAAUAAAUGUUUCUAUUUAGGGGUAAAGCACUGUUACGUAUGAGGGCUGGUAACACUGUACUGAAUCGUUGCAAACUAAGAAUACUAAAUGUGAAUAAAAUUUAUUAGUAAGACUGUGGGGGAUAAGCUUCAUUGUCAAAAGGGUAAUAGCCCAGAACAUCAGUUAAGGUCCCUAAAUAAUUACUAAGUGAUAAAGGAGGUGGGAGUACCUAUACAAUCAGAAGGUUUGCUUAGAAGCAGCAAUCCUUUAAAGAGUGCGUAAUAGCUCACUGAUUUAGUAAACCUGCGCCGAAAAUGUACGGGACUAAGUGAUUUACCGAAACUAUGUGAUAUGGUAUGAUAUGUAAAUUAUAAUAAAUUUUAACCAAAUAGAAAAGAUAAAACAAAUUAAGAAUUUUUAUAAUAUAAUAAAGGAUAAUUUAAAUAUCGGUAGGGGAGCGUUCUGUUUAGGUUGAAGUAUUAACGUAAGUGGGUAUGGACAAAACAGAAGUGAGAAUGUCGGCUUGAGUAACGAAAAUAUAAGUGAAAAUCUUAUACCCCGAAAAUCCAAGGUUUCCUUCAUAAAGCUCGUCUGAGAAGGGUUAGUCAGGACCUAAGAUGAGGUUGAAAAGCGUAGUCAAUGGUGAACAGGUUAAUAUUCCAGUACCAUUAUUUAGAGAUAUCGAGGGACGAAAAAGGCUAAGCUGACUGAUAUAUUGGUAAUUUCAGUUAAAAUUAUUUAGGUAAUGAGAAAUGGAGAAAACAUUUUGAACUAAAAAUAUAAUAUUAAAUUAAAGAAUAUUAAUAAUUCAGUAUAUGUCAUAUUUCCAAGAAAAGCUCGCACUAUCUAAAAAUAGAAUAAAUAAUGCCUGUACCAUAAACCGACACAGGUGGAUAAGUAGAGUAUACUAAGGGGCGCGAGAGAACUCUCUCUAAGGAACUCGGCAAAUUAACUCUGUAACUUCGGAAGAAAGAGUGCCUUAUUUAAUAAGGUUGCAACAUCAAGACCCAAGCAACUGUUUAUCAAAAACACAGGUCUCCGCUAAGUUGUAAAACGAUGUAUGGGGGCUGACGCCUGCCCAGUGCCAGAAGGUUAAAGAAGUUGAUGAAAGUUAAUGACUGAAGCCCUGGUGAACGGCGGCCGUAACUAUAACGGUCCUAAGGUAGCGAAAUUCCUUGUCGGGUAAGUUCCGACCCGCACGAAAGGCGUAAUGAUUUGGGUACUGUCUCAGAGAGAGACUCGGUGAAAUAGACUUGUCUGUGAAGAUGCAGACUACCUGCAUCUGGACAGAAAGACCCUAUGAAGCUUUACUGUAACUUGAUAUUGGUAUUUAACGUUAUUUGUGCAGAAUAAGUGGGAGGCUAUAAAAUUAUUGAUAUUUAAAGCCAUUAGUGAGAUACCACUCCUAUAAGGUUAAAUUUCUAACUUUUAUCCUUAACUGAUUAAAAGAAAAGUUUUAAGUGGGCAGUUUGACUGGGGCGGUCACCUCCUAAAUAGUAACGGAGGUGCACAAUGGUUUUCUCUGAACGGGUAGAAAUCGUAUCUAGAGUGUAAAGGCAAAAGAAAGCUUGACUGUGAGACUUACAAGUCGAGCAGGGACGAAAGUCGGUCUUAGUGAUCUGACGGUGCUGAGUGGAAAGGCCGUCACUCAACGGAUAAAAGUUACUCUAGGGAUAACAGGCUGAUCUCCCCCAAGAGUUCACAUCGACGGGGAGGUUUGGCACCUCGAUGUCGGCUCAUCGCAUCCUGGGGCGGUAGUACGUCCCAAGGGUUGGGCUGUUCGCCCAUUAAAGCGGUACGCGAGCUGGGUUCAGAACGUCGUGAGACAGUUCGGUCCGUAUCCGAUGUGGGCGUUAGAAUAUUGAGAGGAACUUUUUCUAGUACGAGAGGACCGAAAAGGAUGUACCAAUGGUGUACCAGUUAUUGUACCAACAGUAAACGCUGGGUAGCUAAGUAUGUAAUAGAUAACCACUGAAAGCAUCUAAGUGGGAAGCUAACCUCAAGAUUAGUAUUCUCAUCACAUAAAUAAUGUGAAUAAGGUCACGGUAAGACUAACCGUUAGAUAGGCAUUAAGUGUAAAUAUAGUAAUAUAUGAGCUGAGAUGUACUAACAGACCGAAGACUUG